rnacentral:rRNA from 1 species
GAUGAACGCUGGCGGCGUGCCUAAUACAUGCAAGUCGAGCGAACAGACGAGGAGCUUGCUCCUCUGACGUUAGCGGCGGACGGGUGAGUAACACGUGGAUAACCUACCUAUAAGACUGGGAUAACUUCGGGAAACCGGAGCUAAUACCGGAUAAUAUAUUGAACCGCAUGGUUCAAUAGUGAAAGACGGUUUUGCUGUCACUUAUAGAUUGAUCCGCGCCGCAUUAGCUAGUUGGUAAGGUAACGGCUUACCAAGGCAACGAUGCCUAGCCGACCUGAGAGGGUGAUCGGCCACACUAGAACUGAGACACGGUCCAGACUCCUACGGGAGGCAGCAGUAGGGAAUCUUCCGCAAUGGGCGAAAGCCUGACGGAGCAACGCCGCGUGAGUGAUGAAGGUCUUCGGAUCGUAAAACUCUGUUAUUAGGGAAGAACAAAUGUGUAAGUAACUGUGCACAUCUUGACGGUACCUAAUCAGAAAGCCACGGCUAACUACGUG